rnacentral:rRNA from 1 species
AACGAACGCUGGCGGCGUGCUUAAUACAUGCAAGUCUAACGAGAAAGUUCGGAGCAAUCUGGACGAGUACAGUGGCGAACGGGUGAGUAACACGUGGGCAACCUGCCCUCACGUUUGGGAUAAGCCCUGGAAACGGGGUCUAAUACCAGGUGAUAUCGCGUACAGGCAUCUGUGUGCGAUCAUAGACGGGGAAACCUGUCGCGUGUGGAUGGGCCCGCGGUCCAUUAGCUUGUUGGUGGGGUAACGGCCUACCAAGGCGACGAUGGAUAGCCGACCUGAGAGGGUGACCGGCCACACUGGGACUGAGAUACGGCCAGACUCCUACGGGAGGCAGCAGUAGGGAAUAUUGCGCAAUGGACGAAAGUCUGACGCAGCAACGCCGCGUGGAUGAUGAAGUAUUUCGGUACGUAAAAUCCUUUCGACAGGGAAGAAACGUAGGAGACGUAACUGGCUCUUACCUGACGGUACCUGUAGAAGAAGUCCCGGCUAACUCCGUGCCAGC